rnacentral:rRNA from 1 species
UACGAAGGGGGCUAGCGUUGCUCGGAAUCACUGGGCGUAAAGGGUGCGUAGGCGGGUUUUUAAGUCAGGGGUGAAAUCCUGGAGCUCAACUCCAGAACUGCCUUUGAUACUGAAGAUCUUGAGUCCGGGAGAGGUGAGUGGAACUGCGAGUGUAGAGGUGAAAUUCGUAGAUAUUCGCAAGAACACCGGUGGCGAAGGCGGGACUCUGGGCCGAUACUGACGCUGAGGAGCGAAAGCGUGGGGAGCAAACAGG